ACCCAAUUAACACUACACUAUUUAGUUAACACCCAAUUAUCACUACUAGGUUAUCUAACCGCGGCACUUAGGGCCUGACACGAGUGGUGAUAGUGAAGUUCACCAGACUCUUGCAAAGAGGCUGGAAAUCGAGACUAGUGAUGGAAAAUGCUCCUCUACUAGCAUGUCUGUGAGACACCAGCUUUUUCCAAUUCAUGAUAACAAGGAACCAAGAACAGCUGAACAGACCAGGAAAAAGCGAAAACGUUUUCGUGAAAACAAGAAGAGAAUCUUCCACACAUGGAAAAUCGAAACAAACAAUAUCAGCAAAAUGUACAAGAUAGGAAAAGGCACUUGUAGAGAAUCAUAGGAAGGAAGAAAAUGCUCUUAAGAAGAAAAGGAGUAUUGAACAGCUGCGAAAAGUACAGCGUAAAAUUGAGAUUGAAAGUUUGAAAGUGCAUACUCGUAUGAAGCUAAAACGAAUUCAGAUGUUUUACUGCUUUCUGCCCAUGAGACUUGUAGCCAUGAGACUUGUAGCGUUGCUGACAGAUUAAAGAAAGUUGAUCAGUGUGUGCAUAUUCAAGAAUUGGAAACGGAAAGGAACGAGGCUUGUAUAGGGAUAUGGCAGAAAGAAUAAAAGCUGAGAAAAGGAUACUACACAAUAGGAUACUACACAAUGAAAUGUGCAGAAAGUUAGAGGUAGUUAGAGAACAUUAUAGGAACAAAGUUAUUGAAAGUGGAUCAAGAGGUGGGGUGAUGGUGGGGUGAUGGUACGUAUGGCAAUGGAAGCAAAAUCUGACGAUCCACCACUAUGUCAUGCACAUAAUUAUAUAAUUAUACUCCAUGAAUUUAUAUUGUGAUCGAUAAUUGUACUAUACAUAAUUAUGUACAGCAUUCGACAGAAAAUAAUUAAUGUUUCACAAUG